rnacentral:sRNA from 1 species
AUUUGGCUUAUGUCACCGUGCAGACACUGAAGUUUAUGUUCUUCAGUAUUUUAUAGAACUUAAAAUCAGACACCAUGGUACCUAACCUCGGCUUUCAGGAGAUGACACCAAGAGAACAGAACUUUCAAGGGAAGGCUACAGAGCAGGAAACCCCGUUCAAGGAAGGACACAACCACUAUUGUAACCAGAGUCUAAAUGCCUCAUUUGAGUGCCGGGCACAUUUAUACAUCUGGGUGAGAUUGCAAAUUUGGUUUGGAUAUUACAAAUGCUGUGAGCUGCAUAGUUCUCCUAAGCAAGGAGAUGGUCUUCAUCCUCCUUACCACUUCCACCCUUGCCUACCCCAGGGACUUUCUGACAAGAGAUGAAAUUGCUUCUUGUGGCUAUGAAGAUUAUGAGGAACAUGCUGGCAGUGAACAGAUCAGAA